rnacentral:rRNA from 1 species
UACGUAGGGAGCAAGCGUUGUUCGGAUUUACUGGGCGUAAAGGGCUCGUAGGCGGCCAACUAAGUCAGACGUGAAAUCCCUCGGCUUAACCGGGGAACUGCGUCUGAUACUGGAUGGCUUGAGUUUGGGAGAGGGAUGCGGAAUUCCAGGUGUAGCGGUGAAAUGCGUAGAUAUCUGGAGGAACACCGGUGGCGAAGGCGGCAUCCUGGACCAACACUGACGCUGAGUGAGCGAAAGCCAGGGGAGCAAACGGG